UACGUAGGGUGCGAGCGUUGUCCGGAAUUAUUGGGCGUAAAGGGCUCGUAGGCGGUUUGUCGCGUCGGGAGUGAAAACUCAGGGCUUAACCCUGAGCCUGCUUCCGAUACGGGCAGACUAGAGGUAUGCAGGGGAGAACGGAAUUCCUGGUGUAGCGGUGAAAUGCGCAGAUAUCAGGAGGAACACCGGUGGCGAAGGCGGUUGCCUGGAGCUUUGCUGACGCUGAGGCGCGAAAGCGUGGGGAGCGAUCCGG
rnacentral:rRNA from 1 species